rnacentral:piRNA from 1 species
UUCUAGCGGCACCUGGUGAACUACA